rnacentral:rRNA from 1 species
GCACAAGCGGUGGAGCAUGUGGUUCAAUUCGACGCAACGCGAAGAACCUUACCCAGGCUUGAACAGCGAGUGACCAGCUCCGAAAGGGGCCUUCCGCAAGGACACUCGUAGAGGUGCUGCAUGGCUGUCGUCAGCUCGUGUCGUGAGAUGUUGGGUUAAGUCCCGCAACGAGCGCAACCCUUGUUUGCUGUUGCCAUCACGUUAUGGUGGGCACUCUGCAAAGACUGCCGGUGAUAAACCGGAGGAAGGUGGGGAUGACGUCAAGUCAGCAUGGCCUUUAUGUCUGGGGCUACACACGUGCUACAAUGGCAGAUACAAACCGUCGCGAGACCGCAAGGUGGAGCUAAUCGGAGAAAGUCUGUCUCAGUUCGGAUCGUAGGCUGCAACUCGCCUGCGUGAAGUUGGAAUCGCUAGUAAUCGCGGAUCAGCACGCCGCGGUGAAUACGUUCCCGGGC